rnacentral:rRNA from 1 species
AUUGAACGCUGGCGGCAUGCCUUACACAUGCAAGUCGAACGGUAACAGGUCUUCGGAUGCUGACGAGUGGCGAACGGGUGAGUAAUACAUCGGAACGUGCCCAGACGUGGGGGAUAACGAGGCGAAAGCUUUGCUAAUACCGCAUACGAUCUAAGGAUGACAGCAGGGGACCGCAAGGCCUUGCGCGUUUGGAGCGGCCGAUGGCAGAUUAGGUAGUUGGUGGGAUAAAAGCUUACCAAGCCGACGAUCUGUAGCUGGUCUGAGAGGACGACCAGCCACACUGGGACUGAGACACGGCCCAGACUCCUACGGGAGGCAGCAGUGGGGAAUUUUGGACAAUGGGCGAAAGCCUGAUCCGGCAAUGCCGCGUGCAGGAUGAAGGCCUUCGGGUUGUAAACUGCUUUUGUACGGAACGAAAAGGCUCUGGCUAAUACCUGGGGCACAUGACGGUACCGUAAGAAUAAGCACCGGCUAACUACGUG